rnacentral:rRNA from 1 species
AGUGAACGCUGGCGGUAGGCCUAACACAUGCGAGUCGAACGGCAGCACAGUAAGAGCUUGCUCUUACGGGUGGCGAGUGGCGGACGGGUGAGGAAUACAUCGGAAUCUACUUUUUCGUGGGGGAUAACGUAGGGAAACUUACGCUAAUACCGCAUACGACCUACGGGUGAAAGCAGGGGAUCUUCGGACCUUGCGCGAUUGAAUGAGCCGAUGUCGGAUUAGCUAGUUGGCGGGGUAAAGGCCCACCAAGGCGACGAUCCGUAGCUGGUCUGAGAGGAUGAUCAGCCACACUGGAACUGAGACACGGUCCAGACUCCUACGGGAGGCAGCAGUGGGGAAUAUUGGACAAUGGGCGCAAGCCUGACCCAGCCAUACCGCGUGGGUGAAGAAGGCCUUCGGGUUGUAAAGCCCUUUUGUUGGGAAAGAAAAGCAGCAGGUUAAUACCCCGCUGUUCUGACGGUACCCAAAGAAUAAGCACCGGCUAACCUCGUG